rnacentral:rRNA from 1 species
CAGCAGCCACGGUAAUACAGAGGGUGCGAGCGUUAAUCGGAUUUACUGGGCGUAAAGCGUGCGUAGGCGGCUUCUUAAGUCGGAUGUGAAAUCCCUGAGCUUAACUUAGGAAUUGCAUUCGAUACUGGGAAGCUAGAGUAUGGGAGAGGAUGGUAGAAUUCCAGGUGUAGCGGUGAAAUGCGUAGAGAUCUGGAGGAAUACCAAUGGCGAAGGCAGCCAUCUGGCCUAAUACUGACGCUGAGGUACGAAAGCAUGGGGAGCAAACAGGAUUAGAUACCCCAGUAGUCCCUGUCUCUUAUAA